UGGGGAAUUUUGGACAAUGGGCGAAANCCUGAUCCAGCAAUGCCGCGUGUGUGAAGAAGGCCUUCGGGUUGUAAAGCAUCUUUUGUCCGGGAAAGAAAAUCCUUGGGCUCUAAUACAGUCGGGGGAUGACGGUACCGGAAGAAUAAGCACCGGCUAACUACGUGCCAGCAGCCGCGGUAAUACGUAGGGUGCAAGCGUUAAUCGGAAUUACUGGGCGUAAAGCGUGCGCAGGCGGUUUGCUAAGACCGAUGUGAAGUCCCCAGGCUCAACCUGGGAACUGCAUUGGUGACUGGCAGGCUAGAGUAUGGCAGAGGGGGUAGAUUCCACGUGUAGCAGUGAAAUGCGUAGAGAUGUGGAGGAAUACCGAUGGCGAAGGCAGCCCCCUGGGCCAAUACUGACGCUCAUGCACGAAAGCGUGGGGAGCAAACAGGAUUAGAUACCCUGGUAGUCCACGCCCCUAAAACGAUGUCAACUAGUUGUUGGGGGAUUCAUUUCCUUAGUAACGUAGCUAACGCGUGAAGUUGACCGCCUGGGGAGUACGGUCGCAAGAUUAAAACUC
rnacentral:rRNA from 1 species